rnacentral:tRNA from 1 species
GCAUCCAUGGCUGAAUGGUUAAAGCGCCCAACUCAUAAGAUGUAAAUUUGCGGGUUCAAUUCCGUCUGGAUGCA